UACGGAGGGUGCAAGCGUUAAUCGGAAUUACUGGGCGUAAAGCGCCCGUAGGCGGCUUUUUAAGUCUGUUGUGAAAGCCCCGGGCUCAACCUGGGAACUGCAUCUGAAACUGGCAAGCUUGAGUGUGGUAGAGGGGGGUAGAAUUCCCGGUGUAGCGGUGAAAUGCGUAGAGAUCGGGAGGAAUACCAGUGGCGAAGGCGGCCUCCUGGACGAAGACUGACGCUCAGGUGCGAAAGCGUGGGGAGCAAACAGG
rnacentral:rRNA from 1 species